AUGCGUCUCGGGGCCACGGCUUCAUACACACACCACACUUGUCUUAUCCCCCGUCUGCUUUUUCCCCGGUCCAAGAAGAGGCUAGCUCAACCCCAGACACACACACGCGCUCGCACACCCUCGCUCAAACACAGUGAAAUAGGGCGGUUCAGAGGACGGAAACAUUCUGUGAAGUAUACACAGCAUGGUUUCUGUGGAUGGCCUGCGUGUCUUCAGCAGCGGCAGAAUCCUCUGAGGAACUGGCCUGACUCAUCUGCAUCUGUGACAGGGUCAUAUGCUUCUUGGAACUUGGUGGGAUCCGGGAGUCAAGCUUUGUAA
ensembl:lncRNA